rnacentral:rRNA from 1 species
UACGAAGGGAGCUAGCGUUGUUCGGAAUCACUGGGCGUAAAGCGCACGUAGGCGGAUGUGUCAGUCAGGGGUGAAAUCCCGGAGCUCAACUUCGGAACUGCCCUUGAUACAGCACAUCUUGAGUCCGGAAGAGGUGGGUGGAAUUCCUAGUGUAGAGGUGAAAUUCGUAGAUAUUAGGAAGAACACCGGUGGCGAAGGCGGCCCACUGGUCCGGUACUGACGCUGAGGUGCGAAGCGUGGGAGCAAACAGGA